rnacentral:snRNA from 1 species
AUACUUACCUGGCAGGGAAGAUACCAUGAUCACGAAGGUGGUUUUCCCAGGGCGAGGCUUAUCCAUUGCACUCCGAAUGUGCUGACCCCUGCGAUUUCCCAAAUGUGGGAAACUCGACUGCAUAAUUUGUGGUAGUGGGGGACUGCGUUCGCGCUCUCCCCUG